AAAAAAAAAAAAGAGCAAAGCUAUAAAAUUCUUGUUUCCAGCUCCAAAUAAACGAGAAUCAAAACUUUUCUGCAUUUGAUUUCUUAGAAAAAGAUUGAGGAAAGAGAAAACAAGACAAAAAUUUUAUUCCCACAUCACAUCAACAAGUGAGCACGCACUAUUGACUCUAAAUUAUGAUGCAUAUAGUACCCAGAAGAGCAAAGAAAGCCAGGAAGUCUAAUUGAGCCAAGUUGAUUCAAUACAAUAUACUGUUCAUAAUGAAUUUAUUAAAAAAAUUGAUAGGUAUUACCGUUUGAUUCAACAUCACCUUAAAUAUAUUAAUUACAUAGUUAAAUUUGAUGUAUUUUAGUCUCCAAAA
rnacentral:misc_RNA from 1 species